GAGGGUAGGUUAGGUAAGUAGUGGGUAGGUAGGUUAGGUAAGUAGUGGGCAGGCAGGUAAGGUAGGAGAGGUUAGGUAAGUAGUGGGUAGGUAGGAGAGGGUAGGUUAGGUAAGUAGUGGGUAGGCGGGUAGGUAGGAGAGGGUAGGUUAGGUAAGUAGUGGGUAGGCGGGCAGGUAAGGUAGGAGAGGAUAGGUAAGUAGUGGGCAGGCAGGUAAGGUAGGAGAGGUUAGGUAAGUAGUGGGUAGACAGGUAAGGUAGGAGUGGGUAGGUUAGGUAAGUAGUGGGCAGGUAGAAGAGGUUAGGUAAGUAGUGGGCAGGUAAGGUAGGAUAGGUUAGGUAAGUAGUGGGUAGACAGGUAAGUAGUGGGCAGGCAGGUAAGGUAGGAGAGGGUAGGUUAGGUAAGUAGUGGGCAGGCAGGUAAGGUAGGAGAGGUUAGGUUAGGUAAGUAGUGGGCAGACAGGUAAGGUAGGAGAGGGUAGGUUAGGUAAGUAGUGGGUCGACAGGUAAGGUAGGUUAGGUAAGUAGUGGGUCGACAGGUUAGGUAAGUAGUGGGCAGACAGGUAAGGUAGGAGAGGGUAGGUUAGGUAAGUAGUGGGCAGGCAGGUAAGGUAGGAGAGGGUAGGUUAGGUAAGUAGUGGGUAGACAGGUAAGGUA
ensembl:lncRNA